AGCUUUGCGCAGUGGCAGUAUCGUAGCCAGUGAGGUUUAUCCGAGGCGCGAUUAUUGCUAAUUGAAAACAGGUGUACACAGUAGCAUGACGUUAGGUGUUUUAACUAACGUGUGCUGAGCAGAACGACAAAACGC